CGAAAUCUGAGGUUUACGAAGGAUUUUCGCAUGUGUUUUGUGAUGAAUCGACUCAGAACAAGCUCACUCCGAUCUUCUGGCUGCCGGAGAAAGUGUAUCUGCUUGGAGAGUCUCGGAAUUGGCUUUGGCGACGCUGAACGCUGCUUCAUUCGAAUCGAUGGGGGCUUCAUAUGCAGAAUGUUCCCUCACUUAGUGGUCUCAUGCUCACUCAAGCAGAGGUAAAGUAAAGUUUAUCACCAUUCAUCAAUUUUCUUUUCUUUUUUUUUAAGUUAAUAGUGUACUGGUUAUAACUAAUAUCAAAUCUUUACUAAUACUUGAUUUCUUUUUAUGAUGGUUGACUUUGCGAGAACUAACGGAGCAUUAGUGUCAAGAAUGGGCUGAGAUUCGAAUUCAGUCGGUUUUUCGCUCUUUUUUUGACAAAAAGGGAUCAAGAUCGGGACCGUCCAUUUGACUUCACACGGAUAACCAUAUGC